AUAUCCCUGGGGAUAAGCACUUAUAUAGAUCCACUUUGGGACAUUGGUGUGCAAGUGGCAAAAAGAGUCCUGUCCCAGCACUGCAAGGGGAAGAUAAAGGCUCGUCAUCUGUGCGUGCGUCCAUCUGAGUGGAACGUGUGUCCCGGGGGCUGCUGCCACCGCGCCGGUCCCUCCUGUAAUCCGAGCCCGUGUCAGAGGACGCGGCGCCUGCAAGGAAGAAGGGUUGCCGCAGGUGUGGCCAGAUCCUCUAGGCAAGAGGUGUGGAUUCAGGUCCUACUAGUCUUACUCCUGAUGAAGCUGGGCAAAUCAGUUGGCUCUGGAGUAAUUAGUAGCCCCUUCCUCACUGACCAUUGCAAGGUGAUCUUCUCAACAUAUACCUCAGUUAACAUUGUGCGGAUGGCUGCCUUCUCCUCUCCUGGAAAUAUGCAAAUUGACAACACAUUUGUAGGUCUCACUGGUUUGUAUCAGAGUUGGCGUAGAGCAUUUGUUUAGGUACUUCUGGAAUUUUGAUGGUCUUUAUCUCAUGAUGUCAAGAUGGAUGCCUCAAUCUAGUCUUCCCUUCUGCCCACCAGUAUCCUUCACAGGAAACAACAGAGUGAGGACAUAACAGGACUCUUCUUCCCAGAAACUUCUUCUCAGACUUCCACUCAGAGGUCACUGGCCAGAAAUGAUGACAUAUGGAUUCCUUAAUUUAAGAGAAACAGAAAAAUAAGCAUCAUCUGCUAAAAGAGAAUGGAGUUAUACUGACUGGCUGAGGACAAUCAUGCCCGAGCCACUAGGUCUGGGCAAAUUGGGCACUUCCAAAGUGCAUCAUGAAAGUGCUCUUAAGAAAAACGUGGGGUAUGUGGAUUCUGGAUAAGCAAAGUAUCUGCCACACUGAAAUCCUUAUCUAGUUUCCUAAAAUCCUAGAUUAGAAAAUUCAAACGGCUUCACUUGUGUGAUUAUUAUCUCUGCUAUAUGCUUCAGAAGAAAAUAAAAGUAUGUUCAUAACGUUCAUUUUAAAUC
ensembl:lncRNA LINC00923 long intergenic non-protein coding RNA 923